GCCUGCCCCGCCCGGCGCCGCACCACGUGGGCCAGGCGCCCCACGCCUGGAGCUCCCCUCUCUGGAGCCCCGGGAAAGGAAGCGGGGCAGGGAGGCCGGGUGGGAGCAGGGGGGUCUCCGGCGCUUCCUCUCCUCUGCGGGCGCCGCGCGGCUCCUGAGAGUCCGCCCCCCGUCCUGACGCUCAGCUAGGAAGCGGGUCCUCGGGCCCCUCCCCCGACACACACACACACACACACACACACACACACACACACACACACUCUCUCUCUCUCUCUCUCUCUCUCUCUCUCUCUCUCUCUCUCUCACACACACACACACACACACAGCCCGUCUCGCGCCUGAGGUCUCGCCCGCAGGCCGGUGGCGCGGGGUCAGCUGCUGCCUGCGGUCCAGGACAGGGUCGGUUCCGCCGCGCAGCGCCCAGGCCCAGCUCGUCCAGAGUCUGCGGACAGCGCACGUCCAGGUAACGCGCUUCAAGGGGCCGCGGCUCGGAGCUGGGGGACCCCGGGCCGCCCUGCCCAUACGAGUGCGAGCGUGGAGAGCGCGGGCGGGGGCGCGGUCCCGGGGGCCGGCCAGCUGGAGGGGGCGGGAGCGCUGGGCGGGGCCUGCGCUGACCCCGGCGCUGAGUCCCUGGGGCCGCCGGGCGGAUGGCGUGGCCGGACGCGGGGGCCCCGGGCCUUCCGGGCGUGACCUAGGGCUCGGGGGCGGGGAGGCCCCUCCGGCGGGGCGGCCCUGGGUGGUCCGGCAGAGGCGGAGGCCGCUCCGAGCCUGUGAGCCCUGGGCGCCUGCGGAGGCGGGGAGAGGGCGGGGUGUGCCGCCCUGGUGGGGACCGCGGGGUCGGAGAGGGGACAUUGCCCCCCCCGAGGCGAACGUCCAACCGCGGGUCCGGGUCCCCGCCCAAGGCCGCCCCGCGAGGUGGCCUCGGCCCGGCCGUCCCCGAGGGUGGCUCGGAUCCUUUCAACCAGCGCGCUGGAGGCGAAGGGGCUGCGCCAUUCCGGGUCAGGCAGCCAACGCGGGACACGCGCGUCUCCGAGCUUGCGGCCCGCGAAACCCGGGUGACCUACCGCGCCGGUGCCCUCAAAGCCCCCACGCCCGGGCCGGUGGCCGCUGCAGCCACUGAGCCACGCGGUCUCCCCGGCCCGGUCGGCAGAAGGAGCUGGUCCGUUACUAGAAAAGUCCAGAUGCAAAGUCGGGGGUCGUGCUGCCGCUUCCUGCCAGCGCACCGCACCCACCUGGGGCCGCCACCGACCGCACAGGACGCGCCUCCUACCCCCUGUUCUGGCCCGGCCGAGAGCUGGUGCCCCCAGCGGCCGCCCGCCCCCGUCCGCAGACCCCGGGGCCCUUGCUGCUUUGCAUUGGGAACAACCGGAGCCAGGCCCGGAGCUGAGGGGGCCAGGGCCUUUGGAGGAAGCAUUGGCCUCCAGGCUGAAGAGCAAGGGCCGUGUCACCUGCCCGGAGGGCGGUCUCAUCUCUGCAGCCAGGUCAGAGGAAGCAGCGGUGGGGAGACGGAGUGCGCGAGUUGGGAGGCUCCACGCAUCGUAGGUGGAGAGCUGGCUGCCAGCCUGGCCUGCCCUCUCUUCCCCGUCCCACCAUCUCGCUUGGCUCCGGCACCUGCCUGGGAAGACCCACACCUCCGUCUGCAGUGCCUCUUCCCCCUGGAGGCCCUGCCCUCCGCUCGGGGUCCCCGCAUCCUUCCGUGGCCCUCAGAGCAUCGCCUGGGGCGCCCGCGGAACUCAUCUGUUAGGCCUGGGAUGCAGGCAGGCAGAAGUGGGGGUUUAAGUGGAAGCAGUGAGGGUGGGGGUCCGGUCCAAACUGUGCCACCUUCCACCCCCUGCCCCUGGGAGAGCAGACAUCGCCCACUCGGGCUCACAGUGCCAUCCGGGUGAGGACCUCCGUGGAGAGCUCUCUUUGCCAAAGAAAAGCAGUUGCAUUAGGUCUGCGAGCAGGCAGGGUGGCCUCUUCCUGGCUCCCCAUCCACCAAGGAAGCUUCAAGUCCCUGGGACACAGGUGGGGAACUCCAGCACCCCUGGAGGAAGGGAGACUGAGGUUGGGGAGUGGCAUCCAGGCCCUGACUCUGGGGCACGGUGGUCUGUGCAACUGAGACCCUGCCUCAGGCUCCAACAGCGCCUGCUCCUUUCCCCAGGUUGCAGUGAUCACCAGGGGAGGUGCUGGGCGUGCAGGCUGCCACAGGAGGGGUGGGGAGGUGGGGAGUCUCUGUGGCGGGGUGGUGGGGGCCUAGGCCAGUCAGCUGAGGACGUGUUGGUGCACUCCCGGGAGGGCGGUAUGUGGGUGAGGAUCCCCAUGCAGAGUGGUGCCCACAAACCCCCCUUCCAGAGUCAUCUCUGGUCCACCUUGAAGUCCCCAGGAAAAUGACCUCGUCCUCCGCGGGUGUGAGCCACUAGGCCUGAGAGGACGCCGGGACGGAGCUUUCAGAGAGGGAGGUGUCGGGAUGGCUUGAGGGUCACCAGCCCAGACGUCCUCCUGGUCCUCCUGAUGCCCCCGACCUCCACGGAGGACGAGCAUUUCCAGCCCAGCCCUCCCCAUCUUCACCUCGCACUCCCCUGACACACUGGGAGCCUCCUGAUCCGUGAACCCGCGCUGGCGGGAGUAGCUACUGACCGCUGGGGACCCCUGCCCAGGCUGUUCGCAUGUGGAAAGGAUUCAGGGAGCAGGCGAUGCCCAAAGCGUGGAGACCAGCACUGCUCUCUCCCCAGUGACAGUACAGCUGUGCCGUGUACAGGAGGGUGCUGUCUGACGCCAGACACCUGGACUACAGAUCGCAGCCUGAUUCCUGGUCAUUGCUCCACUGAACCCCAGACCCCAGCCUCGUUCUGGGCCCUCAUCCCCUAGAUCCAGGGACCCCAGCCCCAUUUCAGCCCUUGGGCCCUUGUAGGAUGCGAGGCCCUGGGCCCCAGCCCCCAGCCCAUCCGUGGCCCAGGCACUGGGGGGCUGAGGUCCUCUGAGAAGGGACACAGGGCCUGGGGGGCUCUCUCAGCCCAUCAGCAGGAGAGGACUGACUCCAGAAAAAUCAGCGUUUGUACCCACUCAGGCUGCCAAGACCUGUGUCCGUCCUUCCAAGCUCAACCUUCAGAGUUCAUGAGGCCCCUUGCCCAGAAUGUCCACAGAGUUCAUGAGGCCCCUUGCCCGGAAUGUCCACAUUUGAAACCUCCCAACACCGAGCCCCAUUUCAAGUAUAACCAGGAGGGAAAAUGGUGCUUGAAAUAAGCAUGCCACAAAGGAAAACCUGCUUUCUCGAAAUGGGCCCUGGCCGCCCAGGCCCUGACCUCCCCGGCCAGGAUGGAACGUUCCAGAGACCCAUUAGUGCCAAAGGCAAAUGAAAACACACCCUGUGAAAAUGUC
rnacentral:lncRNA from 1 species